CCACAUUUUAUGCGAAACAAAGUUGAUUAUUGUAUUAUAUUAAUAACGUUUUAAACUUAUUUAGUUUUGGGUGAUAAUUGCGCUGAUAACACAGAGUGUGCAGGAGUGACAAACGCUAACUGUGACUCAACUUGUAAAUGUGAGGGACAAUACAAAGAAGAUACUGGCAGCUGCAUUUCAAAGGCUUUGGGUGAUACUUGCGCUGGUGACUCGGAUUGUACAGGAGUGACAGGCGCUACUUGUAACACAAAUUGUGUAUGUGAGGGGCAAUACAAGCAAGAUGGAACUGAUUGUGUUUCUAAAGUUUUGGGUGAUACUUGCGCCGCUGACU